GCUUGGAAAAUCAGCGGGGAAGAAGACCCUGUUGAGCUUGACUCUAAUCUGGCAUUGUUCGGAGACAUGCCGAGGUGUAGCAUACGUGGGAGACCCGGACCAAGGCGGGCGGUUUCGGCCGUUCGUCUCCGGGCCGACCUUGAAAUACCACUACUCGCAUCGUUUCCCCACUUACUCGGUAGAGCGGAACGCGCGGUUCCGGCCGCGGGCGCGUCCGGCCGGCGGUCGUCGUCCCGUCGCGUCGUCGGUUUGCCGUCGGUUCGCCGGCGCGCUACUGGCGCGCGGCGUGGUCGCCGUGCCGUCGGCCUGUGCCCGUUCGUGCCGGGCCGCGGUUGAUAUUCCGGUAGCGUUAAGCACCAGCCGAGGGAUCCGGGCGUCAAACCGCGGACCGCGUCCGUCCGCGUACGGCCGACCGUCAAAAGUCGCCGUCCGCGUUCGCGGCGUAUCCGCGGGCCCGGUCCCUGGUGCGAUCCGUAUUCCGAGGACACCGCCAGGUGGGGAGUUUGACUGGGGCGGUACAUCUGUCAAAAAAUAACGCAGGUGUCCUAAGGCCAGCUCAGCGAGGACGGAAACCUCGCGUAGAGCAAAAGGGCAAAUGCUGGCUUGAUCCCGGACGCUCAGUACGCGUAGGGACUGCGAAAGCAUCGGCCUCUCGAUCCUCUCGUCCGCUGAAGAGUUUUCAGCGAGAGGUGUCAG
rnacentral:ncRNA from 1 species